rnacentral:rRNA from 1 species
UACGUAGGCAGCAAGCGUUGUUCGGAGUUACUGGGCGUAAAGAGUGCGUAGGUGGUGCCCUAAGUCUGUUGUGAAAUCUCCCGGCUUAACUGGGAGGGUGCCUCGAAAACUGGCAGGCUUGAGGUGUGGAGAGGGAUGCAGAAUUCCUGGUGUAGCGGUGAAAUGCGUAGAUAUCAGGAGGAAUACCAGUGGCGAAGGCGGCAUCCUGGCCAUAUCCUGACGCUCAGGGGCGAAAGCGUGGGGAGCAAACCGG